rnacentral:rRNA from 1 species
AACGAACGCUGGCGGCGUGGAUAAGGCAUGCAAGUCGAGCGAUCUUCGCAAGAAGAUAGCGGCAGAAGGGUUAGUAACAGGUGGGUAAUCUGCCUUCAGGCGUGGAAUAACCUUCCGAAAGGAGGGCUAAUACCACAUAACAUUUCAGGUCCGCAUGGAUUUGAAAUCAAAGAUGGCCGCAAGGCUGUCACCAGAAGAUGAGCCCGCCUCCUAUCAGCAGUUGGUGAGGUAACGGCUCACCAAGGCUUUUGACGGGUAGCUGGUCUAAGAGGACGGUCAGCAACACUGGGACUGAGACACUGCCCAGACUCCUACGGGAGGCUGCAGUCGAGGAUCUUUAUCAAUGCCCGAAAGGGUGAAUAUGCGACGCCGCGUGUGGGAUGAAGGCCUU